rnacentral:rRNA from 1 species
UACGUAGGGUGCAAGCGUUAAUCGGAAUUACUGGGCGUAAAGCGUGCGCAGGCGGUGAUGUAAGACAGUUUGUGAAAUCCCCGGGCUCAACCUGGGAACUGCAUCUGUGACUGCAUCGCUGGAGUGCGGCAGAGGGGGAUGGAAUUCCGCGUGUAGCAGUGAAAUGCGUAGAUAUGCGGAGGAACACCGAUGGCGAAGGCAAUCCCCUGGGCCUGCACUGACGCUCAUGCACGAAAGCGUGGGGAGCAAACAGG